rnacentral:tRNA from 1 species
ACAAAAAUAGCUUAAAGAAUAAAGCAAAGCACUGAAAAUGCUUUGAUAGCGGGUUUAAGUCCCCUCUUUUGUA